ensembl:snRNA U1 U1 spliceosomal RNA
AUUCUUACCUGGCAGGGGAGCUACCGUGAUCAGGCCGAGGCUCAGCCGUUGUACUUUUGUACUUCAGCAGUGUUGACCCCUGUGAAUUCCCCAAAUGUGGGAAUCUCAACUGCAUAAUUUCUAGUAGUGGGGGGCUGCGUUUGCUCUCUUCCCUG